ACCUGCGGAAGGAUCAUUAUCGAUUGCAACACUGGCAGUAAAUGCUCGUGUUGCUAUUGUUGUAUCCAUGAUUUUUUGCGAACAUGUUUCCUUGGUAGGCUUGCCUGCCAAUUGGACAAAACCAUAACCCUUUCAAUAUUUAAUCAGCGUCUGAAUAAUUUUAAUAAUUACAACUUUCAACAACGGAUCUCUUGGUUCUGGCAUCGAUGAAGAACGCAGCGAAAUGCGAUAAGUAGUGUGAAUUGCAGAAUUCAGUGAAUCAUCGAAUCUUUGAACGCACAUUGCGCCCCUUGGUAUUCCAUGGGGCAUGCCUGUUCGAGCGUCAUUUGUAAUCUCAAGCUAUGCUUGGUGUUGGGUACUUGUCUUAGCUAAGCCUAAAGACUUGCCUUAAAUAUAUUGGCAGCCAGUGUUUUGGUUUGAAAUGUGCAGCACAGCGCCUCAAGCUAUUUAAUACAGGCAACCAUGAAGAAUUAUCACUCUUUUGACCUCGGAUCAGGUAGGGAUACCCGCUGAACUUAAGCAUAUCAAUAAGCGGGGGAAAAGA
rnacentral:rRNA from 1 species